UUCGAACUUUAACAUCUCCGUUGUUUUUAAAGAAUAAAAGCCAGAUUUUGCUAAGUUUGAAUCUUUUAUUGAGUUUUAUCGAUUGGCAUACUCAUUUGUGUCAAAUACUU